GGAGCAUCAGUUUGUGCUCAAACCCAACAAAGCAAAAAUCCAACGCUGUGGUUGACUGAUUGGGCUCCAGAGCCGCGUGAUGUUUAUUGGCAGAACCUGGCCAUACCUUUUGUUUCUUUGAGCAUUCGAAAACUGAUAAUAUCAUCAUUAGUGUUUGCUUUAGUAUUCUUCUACAUGAUUCCCAUUGCUUUGGUGCAAUCCCUUGCAAAUUUGGAGGGUCUUGAAAAAGUUGUUCCUUUCCUUAGACCAGUAAUAGAAUUGUAAGUGAUAACCCACUUCUUACUUUUAGACUCUAGAUCGUGAUCAGUGGCCUACAAUUAUCUUAUACUAAACCUCAGAUUUUUUUGGCUUUUGCAGGCAAUUCAUCAAGUCCUUUCUUCAAGGUUUUCUUCCUGGUUUGGCUCUCAAAUUAUUUUUGUAUGUUCUUCCUUCAAUUCUGAUGAUCAUGUCAAAAAUCGAGGGACAUAUUGCAUUGUCAACGCUGGACCGGAAGACAUCAGCAAAAUAUUAUUAUUUUAUGCUGGUGAAUGUUUUCUUGGGAAGCAUAGUGACUGGAACUGCAUUUGAGCAGCUGCAUGCUUUCCUUCACCAAUCACCUACAGAGUAUACCUUCUAUACAAUUUUUACUAGACUAUAUCUGAUUCUCCAUGUUCAUAAAAAUGUUUGUACUAGAUUUGGUAACUUUCCAAUAUGCAAUUAGGCAUGGUUGAACUUUUUUAAGAUGCUUCCUGUAGAGAUUUUAAAUCCAGAAAACAUAUAUUUUGUUUAAUUGAAGUCUAAGACCCAUGCAGAAAACAUAUUUUGUUUCAAUUUUCACUUUGAUAUGUACUUUGAACUUUGUGCUAGUGUAUUAAAAAGACUAAUUUUAUAGUCACUUUGUGCAGUAAAACUUUUGUACAACUACUGGAGCAUUUUGUUUAUAUUUAUGACAUUAAAUACCAUAAUCUGUUGUAACAUAACCAUCGAUUUUUACACCAUAUUUGGUAAUUGUUUCAUUGCCUUAGGGGUUUACUUAUCUCUUUAAUAAUUAACUCAUACUUAUUAUCUCAAUGUGACUAAUCUUCAUGAAUUUAAUUUUUAUUAUAGGAUUCCUAGAACAAUUGGAGUUUCCAUUCCGAUGAAGGCUACAUUUUUUAUGACAUACAUAAUGGUUGAUGGAUGGGCUGGAAUUGCUAGUGAGAUCCUGAGAUUAAAGGAAAUGAUUAUAUAUCAUCUCAAGAACAUGUUCAUAGUUAAAACUGAGAGAGAUAGAGAAAAGGCCAUGGACCCGGGGAGUGUAGACUAUAAGGAAACUAUUCCAAGUCUUCAACUAUACUUCCUUCUUGGAAUUGUGUAUGCUGUGGUGUCUCCUGUUUUGCUUCCUUUCAUACUGAUCUUCUUUGCCUUCGCAUAUUUGGUUUACCGUCAUCAGGUCAGUGUCUCUUCUAGUAUGAUAAUUUGUAUGAAGGUUCAUGAGCUUAUAACAUCUUUACCUACAAAUGCAAUGAUAGAGGAUGGUGUCAUUUACUAUAUCACUUAAAUAUAUAUGUGUGAGUUGCAUUUCUCUUAUUUCUGUUGAGGUGCUUUGACAUAGCUAUACUUCACAUCACAUGCAGAUGAUAUUGGAGCGGCAGAAAAUCAUAAAAGAUCCCAAAUGUAUUUUGCCCGUCGCUUUUCUUUCAUUCAAUUCACGUUGGGGAGCAUCAGUUUGUGCUCAAACCCAACAAAGCAAAAAUCCAACGCUGUGGUUGACUGAUUGGGCUCCAGAGCCGCGUGAUGUUUAUUGGCAGAACCUGGCCAUACCUUUUGUUUCUUUGAGCAUUCGAAAACUGAUAAUAUCAUCAUUAGUGUUUGCUUUAGUAUUCUUCUACAUGAUUCCCAUUGCUUUGGUGCAAUCCCUUGCAAAUUUGGAGGGUCUUGAAAAAGUUGUUCCUUUCCUUAGACCAGUAAUAGAAUU
rnacentral:lncRNA from 1 species